rnacentral:rRNA from 1 species
CCCUACGGGACGCAGCAGUAAGGAAUAUUGCACAAUGGGGGAAACCCUGAUGCAGCAACGCCGCGUGAAGGAUGAAGGUUUUCGGAUUGUAAACUUCUUUAGUCAGGGACGAAUAAAUGACGGUACCUGAAGAAUAAGCCACGGCUAACUACGUGCCAGCAGCCGCGGUAAUACGUAGGUGGCGAGCGUUGUCCGGAAUUACUGGGUGUAAAGGGCGUGUAGGCGGGAAUGUAAGUCAGAUGUGAAAUCCCAGGGCUUAACUCUGGAGCUGCAUCUGAAACUAUGUUUCUCGAGUGCCGGAGAGGAAAGCGGAAUUCCUAGUGUAGCGGUGAAAUGCGUAGAUAUUAGGAGGAACACCAGUGGCGAAGGCGGCUUUCUGGACGGUAACUGACGCUGAGGCGCGAAAGCGUGGGGAGCAAACAGGAUUAGAUACCCCUGUAGUCCG